rnacentral:rRNA from 1 species
GAUCAUGGCUCAGGAUGAACGCUAGCUACAGGCUUAACACAUGCAAGUCGAGGGGAAACGACAUCGAAAGCUUGCUUUUGAUGGGCGUCGACCGGCGCACGGGUGAGUAACGCGUAUCCAACCUGCCCACCACUUGGGGAUAACCUUGCGAAAGUAAGACUAAUACCCAAUGAUAUCCCACGAAGGCAUCCGAAUGGGAUUAAAGAUUUAUCGGUGAUGGAUGGGGAUGCGUCUGAUUAGCUUGUUGGCGGGGUAACGGCCCACCAAGGCAACGAUCAUAGGGGUUCUGAGAGGAAGGUCCCCCACAUUGGAACUGAGACACGGUCCAAACUCCUACGGGAGGCAGCAGUGAGGAAUAUUGGUCAAUGGGCGAGAGCCUGAACCAGCCAAGUAGCGUGCAGGAUGACGGCCCUAUGGGUUGUAAACUGCUUUAUAAGGGAAUAAAGUGGGUCUCGUGAGACUUUUGCAUGUACCUUAUGAAUAAGGACCGGCUAAUUCCGUG